rnacentral:rRNA from 1 species
CAGUCGCCGCGGUAAAACGAAGGGGGCUAGCGUUGUUCGGAAUUACUGGGCGUAAAGCGCACGUAGGCGGAUAUUUAAGUCAGGGGUGAAAUCCCAGAGCUCAACUCUGGAACUGCCUUUGAUACUGGGUAUCCUGAGUAUGGAAGAGGUGAGUGGAAUUCCGAGUGUAGAGGUGAAAUUCGUAGAUAUUCGGAGGAACACCAGUGGCGAAGGCGGCUCACUGGUCCAUUACUGACGCUGAGGUGCGAAAGCGUGGGGAGCAAACAGGAUUAGAUACCCCCGUAGUCCCUGUCUCUUAUAC